GUGCUGCCRUACUUGCCCCAUUUAGACGCCCGGCAGGAUGAGCUGUGGCUGGGAACGUACACUUAAUGGUGGUGGGCUUCAGUCGCAACAGCGUGCGAGAACRUCUUCCACCUGAGAUGUGGCCCAGCAGCAAGAGAAGGCAAUAUGGCUAACUAGAGUCGUCCAGUGUAAUCAUGAAUUAACACACCACGUGCUCUUGACUCACACGAGCUGGAAGUCCAUCUGCCGGGGCCUCUCCGGCAGGGCUGCUGGGGCAGUUGUUGCGAAGACCUCUUCAGACACCGGCAUUUUUCUCGAAGGGUAGGUGUACAAGGAGCUCUUGCCAUCGUGACCAGAGUGUGUGACGCAGUAUCACACGAAAGGAAAAUUUGCUACUGCUUUGCCGAGGAGCUCCCCCAGCUCGACUGAUGUGGAGGGAAGGUGAGUGUCCCCCCGCGAGGGGCUCAGCAGUGAGCUUCUCUCUCCUCACUUGUCC
rnacentral:lncRNA from 1 species